rnacentral:tRNA from 1 species
GGGGAUGUAGCUCAGAUGGUAGAGCGCUCGCCUUAGCAUGUGAGAGGUACGGGGAUAGGUACCCCGCUUUCCAA